AGCUCCAGGGCUGCACAUUACCAAAAGAUAAAGGGGCUUUCAGCAACCAGAGCUAAUCACAGUCUAAAUCUUUCCUCUUCUAAAACUAACCCCCAGUCUAAUUGCUCUCUGAGCCAUAGCCUUAUAUAUGAAGCUUAGCUCCACCCCCAUUCCAUAGCCCCGCCUACAUCAGUCACCCACUUUAUAAAUAGCCUGUCCUCCAUUUUGAAUUCAGUGAUGAAGAGUCUGGAGGCAGGAAGCGAUUCUGUUCUGCUGCAGGGUGCCAUGUAAGACAGCCUGAACGCUCACUGUUGGGAUGAGUUUUAAGCAGCGGUGCAAGAUUACCUGUGUUCGUCUCCCGGUCUGCAGCAGAGAUGGACACACAGCAAUCCCCACAGCCCGAAACGUUAUUGAAGUUUGCAGGACUGUGUGCUGAUCCUGGACGCUGCAAAACUCUCAUGUUUCUGGGGAUGGCAUCAUAGAGCAAGAUGGCCAGAAUUGUAGCUGUGAUUAACUGUGAGCAGAACUAUUCCAUAUGGGAUGGAGCAGUCAGCCAUGUUAAAAUGUACCUGAGCUGAAAGAGUGUGCUGUCCUCCUAAGUGCUGUUUUUGAUGCAAA